ensembl:lncRNA
GGGCUGUGGGCUGGAGCAGUGCAGCCAGGCACCGCCGCACGGCUCACAGUAUGGGCACACGGAGGAAGUUCAUCCAGCUGAGAGCUGCUGGGCUGUCCUUACCAUGCACUCUCCCAUCCUACAGGUCUGCACAGACUGCAGCAGUUGCUCGAGCAUUUUCCACUGCGGCAGCUCACAAGCGACAACUCCAACCUUGACCUAUACAGGGCUGGCAGCCAGAGAGGAAUUGUCUCUUUCUGGAGGCUGUGUCCUGUGGAUUGCUGGGUGAGCCCUGGUCCUUGGAAAGAGGUUGCUCUGGCUGUUUGGUUGAGCAGAAGGUUCUGGACACCAGGACUUCUUCAAAGAGAUGUGAGGACUCCACUGAGGACCUUGAUGGACGCAGCAGGAAGCCACAGCCAACGCUGGACACCAACAUCAACACUUGAUCUUGUCUGGCAAGGUCUAUUGUUCCCAGAGGGCGUUCUUGCUGUUCUGGCCAUUCGAUGGAAUUGGUGUGAGUUUGUACUCAUGCUCCCUGGGCUUUCCAAGGGUGUUCUCCUUGCAUUACACCAACUUUCCCACCCUCUAUUUCCAAGCAG